rnacentral:rRNA from 1 species
GUCGAGAAUAAUUCACAAUGGGGGAAACCCUGAUGGUGCAACGCCGCGUGGAGGAUGAAGGUCUUCGGAUUGUAAACUCCUGUCAUUCGAGAGUACGACCUGACGGUGAAUAGCCGGCAGGGUUGAUAGUAUCGGAAGAGGAAGGGACGGCUAACUUCGUGCCAGCAGCCGCGGUAAUACGAAGGUCCCAAGCGUUGUUCGGAAUCACUGGGCGUAAAGGGAGCGUAGGCUGCGCGGUAAGUCAGGUGUGAAAUCCCGGGGCUCAACCCCGGAACUGCACCCGAUACUGCCGUGCUAGAGGGUUGGAGAGGUGACUGGAAUUCUCGGUGUAGCAGUGAAAUGCGUGGAUAUCGAGAGGAACACUCGUGGCGAAGGCGAGUCACUGGACAACAUCUGACGCUGAGGCUCGAAGGCCAGGGGAGCAAAAGGGAUUAGAUACCCUGGUAGUCC